UUCCCAGCUCCCAGAGUUUCCAAAUCAUCCAUUGAGCCUGCAAACAGCAUUGGUAACUGGCCUUCUGCCAUUGUCUCUGAGGUCUGUGGGCCAGGGUAGCUGGAAAGGGCUGAGCAUUCUUUUCUAAGCCUCCAUGUAAGAAGAGCUUUUUGCCUCCCGCCAUGAUUCUGAGGCCUCCCCAGCCAUGCGGAACUAAUUACUAAUGAGAUGUCUGCAAUGUGCCAAGUCUUAACAUCAGAUUGGACACCACCACCAUUUCCUGUUCCACACUGAUCUUCACAUGGUUCUUGCUUUUUAACAUAACCUCUGAAAACCGAGCCUCACAAAGAAAAAGCAGAGCUCAAGCCUCUUUGCUCUGGGUAUGCAGCCUCAAAGAAGCGUUGUAAGCCUUCAUAAUCAUGAUUUCAAAGAGGAUGUAUGAAAAAUGCUUCUCUACUCUCAGUGAGGCAUUGUAGAAUACACAGCCCUCUAUGCCACUCUAUGAAGAGAGCCAAGAAAAAGAAGAUCACUCCUAAAAGCAGUGUGCUUUCCCUCAGUGGACGUCUGUGGAGCAUGGUGAAAUCAGCCAAUCAGAACGUGCGGAGGCCCACUCUAGAGGCACACAGGGAACUAGAAUGAGUGAACGCCUGAGAGUUCAAGACAGCAAGCUGCUUUGAGCCCACCAAGGAAUGCUGUGACUGUUUUUGUCUUGGCCAGGUGCAGUGGCUCAUGUCUGUAUUCCCAGCACUUUGGGAGACUGAGACGGGUGGAU